AUACGUAGGUGGCAAGCGUUAUCCGGAAUUAUUGGGCGUAAAGCGCGCGCAGGUGGUUUCUUAAGUCUGAUGUGAAAGCCCACGGCUCAACCAUGGAGGGUCAUUGGAAACUGGGAGACUUGAGUGCAGAAGAGGAAAGUGGAAUUCCAUGUGUAGCGGUGAAAUGCGUAGAGAUAUGGAGGAACACCAGUGGCGAAGGCGACUUUCUGGUCUGUAACUGACACUGAGGCGCGAAAGCGUGGGGAGCAAACAGGAUUAGAUACCCUGGUAGUCCACGCCGUAAACGAUGAGUGCUAAGUGUUAGAGGGUUUCCGCCCUUUAGUGCUGAAGUUAACGCAUUAAGCACUCCGCCUGGGGAGUACGGCCGCAAGGCUGAA
rnacentral:rRNA from 1 species